GACGUAGGGCGCGAGCGUUGUCCGGAUUGAUUGGGCGUAAAGAGCUCGUAGGCGGCUCGUUGCGUCGGCUGUGAAAACCCGCAGCUCAACUGUGGGCCUGCAGCUGAUACGGGCGGGCUGGAGUUCGGUAGGGGAGACUGGAAUUCCUGGUGUAGCGGUGAAAUGCGCAGAUAUCAGGAGGAACACCGGUGGCGAAGGCGGGUUUCUGGGCCGAUACUGACGCUGAGGAGCGAAAGCGUGGGGAGCGAACAGG
rnacentral:rRNA from 1 species